rnacentral:rRNA from 1 species
GACGAACGCUGGCGGCGUGCCUAAUACAUGCAAGUCGAACGCAGUGGGGACGGGUGAGUAACACGUGGGUAACCUCCCAUCAGAGGGGAUAACACUUGGAAACAGGUGCUCAACCGAUAUUGCUGGCUGGACCCGCGGUGCAUUAGCUAGGUGGGGAGCUAACGGCUCACCAAGGCCACGAUACAUAGCCGGCCUGGGAGGGGUGACGGCCCAAAUGGGACUGAGAGACGGGCCAGGCGCCUGUGGGAGGCAGGAGGGGGGGAGCGUCGGGAAUGGGGGGAAGUCUGACGCAGCAACGGCGCGUGAGUGAAAGAGGUUUUCGGAUCUGAAAGCUAUGUUGUUAGGGAAGCGGUAUCUAACCAGAAAGGGACGGCGAACUACGUGCCAGCAGCCGCGGUAAUAC